UAGUGCCGUGGUCCUUUUGGC
rnacentral:miRNA from 1 species